CUCAAAAGUGAGAAUUCUUCGUAAUGCAAUAUACAUAUGUAUAUUUCGAUAAUUCAAAGUGCGAUAAAGUGGACACUAACAGGACCGGAAACAGUGGUGUGAUGCAAAUUACAAAUUGGAAGGACGUAUGCAGCAUCUUACAAUUCCUUCACAGAUUAUAAAGCACCGAGUAAAUUAACUCCAGAAGCACAAUUUUAAAUAUCAUCGCAAUGAAAAUUACAAUACACCGCCGGAAAAGAACUCCGAAGCGAUUCCGCGUGGCCUCGUAUCUUCACCGCUCCAAAUCGAAUCGAAUUUGAGAGACCGACGUUGGAUAUACCAAGGACCUUCGGAAGCUCCUACUGUCUUAGCUACUCGAUUCUACAUUUUCAUCCUAAAUUUACAUCAAUCUGCGCCUCACCGAAAGCGUUUCUCAGGUACCAAGCGUUACCACGAACCGACCAACGUCACGGGUAGGUAGCAGUCAUUUCGGUCGCGAGAUUUGGUAGAAAAAAAUUGGUCGACGCGCUGGAUACCUGGAAUUGGUCGAAUCAGUCGACCGGCAAACGAAUGAAUCGGGUCGAGCUCCCUUUCCAGUAAUCCGACCAGCCGAUUUGUUUUCUCUUACAGUCGUACGCGCAGAGGUUGUAUUCGUGCCCGUUUAUUCGCAUGAAAUUCAUCGAACGUUACGCGCAUAAUAAGUAUACCGUUUCAAUGUACGCGAAGCUGGAACCUGGAAACCGGCGGUGGCGAAACACGGCCAACAGUUUUGCCGCGUGGGCGGCGAUUCCCGCGAAAUUCGCGGACAACACUUUGACCGCUGUUUAAGCAGGCGGCUGGCGCCACCUGUCGACGCGCGCUCGUACCGAGCGUCCGUCGCGCAUAUGCUUUGCGCAGAAAAAUUUGGUAAGUGGCAAAGGUCGGUAACGGGGAUUCCUAACGAGAUCGAUAGCGCGAAGAAGCCGUUGAACGUUCGCAACGAAAUUUCGCGUUGUGUGUACGAAGAAGGCCCGAACGUAGAAAAAAAAAAAAUGAAACGAGGCGAAAAAGUUGAGAAAAAAUGAAAAAUUCAAAAAAUAUCGAUAAAAAAUGGCAAAAAUUCCGCACUCGCGAGCGACACUGUUUUUUAGUGAACAUUUUUUCGGGCACGCCCGCGAGCUAUCUCCUUUCGUGACUGUUUGUUCGCCGGGUUGCAGCCUGUAGGCGUGCAUUGACCGCCCCUCUCUGUGUUUGCAACGCUGCAUUCCGAAACGGAAUGUCGCGAUUGAUGAUAUUGUUGCGCUCUAAACAAAUAUCGAGGACAUCGUCUGGGUCUGUCCGACGUAUUUGUCUGUCUGUAGGAGCUGCUAAUAAAGUUCUUUAUCGUCGUAAAUUAGAAAAAGUUCGGAGACAAACUGCACAUCAUUUUAGAUCAUUCCAGACUGGUUGC